ACACUUCCAAUCAAGGCGAGGCGUUAGGCAUCAGCAGAAAAUGAGAGGGAGAUGUUCUGCGUUAGAGAAGAAGCAGAGGCUGCAGGGAAGGCGUGGUUUAUGUAUUUACAAUGCGAGAGGACAUGUGGAAGUUCCCUUGUUAUGUCGCCUCACAAGGAAUAAAAGCAACAGGAUGAGGACAGCAUGACUCAGAAGCACAAGCAACAGGAGACAUGAUCAACAGGACUGGAUCAAAACUGGAAACAUUCGGUGUCCUUCAAAGGACACCAUCAGGAAAGUGA
rnacentral:lncRNA from 1 species